CCUUUCAGUUGGAUUUUGGGCGCAGGCGGCCUUUCCGUCGCAAGGCGUGUACUGGACGUCCUGGCCUUCCCUCCGGUUCUCCGCCGGUGCUCUUGACUGAGUGUCGGCGGCGGCCGGAACGUUUACUUUGAAAAAAUUAGAGUGUUCAAAGCAGGCUCUCGAGCCUGGAUAAUGGUGCAUGGAAUAAUGGAAUAGGACCUCGGUUCUAUUUUGUUGGUUUUCGGAGCGCGAGGUAAUGAUUAAGAGGGACAGACGGGGGCAUUCGUACUGUGCCGUUAGAGGUGAAAUUCUUGGAUCGGCGCAAGACGAACGACUGCGAAAGCAUUUGCCAAGAAUGUUUUCUUUAAUCAAGAGCGAAAGUCAGAGGUUCGAAGACGAUCAGAUACCGUCCUAGUUCUGACUAUAAACGAUGCCAACUAGCGAUCGGGGGGCGUUACAUUGACGACCCCUCCGGCAGCUUACGGGAAACCAAAGUCUUUGGGUUCCGGGGGAAGUAUGGUUGCAAAGCUGAAACUUAAAGGAAUUGACGGAAGGGCACCACCAGGAGUGGAGCCUGCGGCUUAAUUUGACUCAACACGGGAAAUCUCACCCGGCCCGGACACAGUGAGGAUUGACAGAUUGAGAGCUCUUUCUUGAUUCUGUGGGUGGUGGUGCAUGGCCGUUCUUAGUUGGUGG
rnacentral:ncRNA from 1 species